rnacentral:rRNA from 1 species
CGGGAUUCCCUUAGUAACGGCGAGCGAACAGGGAAGAGCCCAGAAUGUAAAUCUCCGGCCCUCGGCCGGCGAAUUGUAGUCUGGAGAAGCGUUCCCUGGGCAGCCCCCGGCCGAAGUAUCCUGGAAGGGAUCGCCCGAGAGGGUGAGAGCCCCGUAGGCCGGUGGGAUGAUGCCCUUCACGGGUCGCUUUCGCAGAGUCGGGUUGUUUGGGAAUGCAGCCCUAAUCGGGUGGUAAACCCCAUCUAAGGCUAAAUAUCGAUGGGAGACCGAUAGCGAAAAAGUACCUCGAGGGAACGAUGAAAAGACCGCUGGCAAGCGAGUAAAAGAGUGCAUGAAAUUGCGUAGUGGGAAGGGAUGGCCCGGCAGCGUGCGCCUGGGCUUAGGCGGCUCUUGGAGCCGCUGGUAUGCAUCAGGUGCUGGCUGGCACCGGCUGCCCCGCCUGUACAACCCCCGGCUAAGGUGCCGGGCACUGCAGGCGGGGCGGCCGAGGUCCCCACACCAUCGUGGCUCCGCCCCCUUGCUCUUGCUUGGGGAGCUGCCUCGACACGGUGCCAGCUGAAGCCGGUCCAUCCG